rnacentral:rRNA from 1 species
GACAGAGGGUGCAAACGUUUGUUCGGAAUUACUGGGCGUAAAGCGAGUGUAGGCGGUGUGGUAAGUCGGAUGUGAAAGCCCCGGGCUCAACCGGGAAGUGCACUCGAUACUGCCACGCUAGAGUAUCGGAGAGGUUGGUGGAAUUCUCGGUGUAGAGGUGAAAUUCGUAGAUAUCGAGAGGAACACCGGUGGCGAAGGCGGUUCUCUGGGCCUGUACUGACGCUGAGGAGCGAAAGCGUGGGGAGCAAACAGG